rnacentral:rRNA from 1 species
AUUGAACGCUGGCGGCAUGCUUUACACAUGCAAGUCGAACGAGUGGCGGACGGGUGAGUAAUGUCUGGGAAACUGCCCGAUGGAGGGGGAUAACUACUGGAAACGGUAGCUAAUACCGCAUACCAUCGGAUGUGCCCAGAUGGGAUUAGCUAGUAGGUGGGGUAACGGCUCACCUAGGCGACGAUCCCUAGCUGGUCUGAGAGGAUGACCAGCCACACUGGAACUGAGACACGGUCCAGACGCCUACGGGAGGCAGCGGUGGGGAAUAUUGUCCAAUGGGCGCAAGCCUGAUGCAGCCAUGCCGCGUGUAUGAAGAAGGCCUUCGGGUUGUAAAGUACUUUCAGCGAGGAGGCGUUACUCGCAGAAGAAGCACCGGCUAACUCCGUGCCAGCAGCCGCGGUAAUUC